AUUGAACGCUGGCGGCAGGCCUAACACAUGCAAGUCGAACGAUUGGCGGACGGGUGAGUAAUGUUUGGGAAACUGCCCGAUGGAGGGGGAUAACUACUGGAAACGGUAGCUAAUACCGCAUACCAUCGGGUGUCACCAGAUGGGAUUAGCUAGUCGGUGGGGUAACGGCUCACCUAGGCAACGUUCCCUAGCUGGUCUGAGAGGAUGACCAGGCACACUGGAACUGAGACACGGUCCAGACUCCUACGGGAGGCAGCAGUGGGGAAUAUUGCACAAUGGUCGCAAGCCUGAUGCAGCCAUGCCGCGGGUAUGAAGAAGGCCUUCGGGUUGUAAAGUACUUUCAGCGAGGAGGCGUUACUCGCAGAAGAAGCACCGGCGAACUCCGUGCCAGCAGCCGCGGUAAUAC
rnacentral:rRNA from 1 species